GAUUAUGGAGGUGUAUGGUUUGGUUGUGACUAUAGAGGAUUGUGGUGUGGGUGUGAUUAUGGAGGUGUGUGGUGUGGGUGUGACUAUAGAGGUGUGUGGUGUGGGUGUGAUUAUGGAGGUGUUUGUUGUGUGUGUGAUUAUGGAGGUGUGUGGUGUGGGUGUGAUUAUGGAGGUAUUUGUUGUGUGUGUGUGUGAUUAUGGAGGUGUUUGUUGUGGGUGUGAUUAUGGAGGUGUUUGUUGUGGGUGUGAUUAUGGAGGUGUUUGUUGUGGGUGUGAUUAUGGAGGUGUUUGUUGUGGGUGUGUGAUUAUGGAGGUGUUUGUUGUGUGUGUGAUUAUGGAGGUGUUUGUUGUGAUUAUGGAGGUGUUUGUUGUGUGUGUGAUUAUGGAGGUGUUUGUUGUGUGUUGUGAUUAUGGAGGUGUUUGUUGUGUGUGUGUGAUUAUAGAGGUGUUUGUUGUGUGUGUGUGAUUAUAGAGGUAUUUGUUGUGUGUGUGUGUGUGUGAUUAUGGAGGUGUUUGUUGUGUGUGUGAUUAUGGAGGUGUUUGUUGUGUGUGUGUGAUUAUAGAGGUAUUUGUUGUGUGUGUGUGAUUAUAGAGGUGUUUGUUGUGUGUGUGAUUAUGGAGGUGUUUGUUGUGUGUGUGAUUAUGGAGGUGUUUGUUGUGGGUGUGAUUAUGGAGGUGUUUGUUGUGUGUGUGAUUAUAGAGGUGUGUGAUUAUGGAGGGGCCGGAGUCUGAAAGAGUACAGCCGGGUCAUGCUGUCUCUGGGAGGCUUGGUGAUGCUCUAUACUCUAAUGAUGGUAUCAGUCGGCACAGACGUCUGUCAGUUUGUUUUCGGAUCAGAGGAGCAAAUUAUUAUUCAUGGGGGGGCCUAAUGAGAGGGUGGGGCCUUCCAAAUUGGGGAGAAAAAGGAAUAACAUUUAAGAAAAAUAAAUAAAUCAGAAGCUGGUCUUCAUGUUGCUGAGGUUAAGUGAAUAGUGUGUGAGUGAAUGUGUCUGUGUGUCUGUCUGCCACUGGUGUUCCUCAGUCAUUUUAAACUUUUAAUAUCUGACCACCUUCAGGCAGAUACUAAUUCUUAUUUUUGUUCCUUUUCUUCUCUAUUUUUUAUUGUUUUAAUAGUUUUGUAUUAUUGCUUUUAGCUUAAUUUUAACUUUUUUUGUAUUAAUCUUAUCUUUUGAUCUUGUGUUAAUGAAACCAAGUUUUAUUUUUUAUUAUUUUCUGUUUUUAUGUGUAUCUAUUCUUUUAUUUACUGUUAUUUAAAAAUGAUUAAAUGUAGUUAUUAAUUUCUUUAACAUAUUAAUGUUAAUGUAAAAUAAAGGUUGUUGAUUGAU